CUUUCUGUGCAAGCUCUUUCGAGAUUCAUCAAGUCCUCUUUUUGAGAAAAGUCAAUUGGCUGAGGUGGAAACUCUACAUUGGUGAUGUAACAAUCUAUUUUGUAACCUCAUUCUGUUUGGGGGAUAUAUUCAUCCAAAUUUCAUGAAGUUCAUAAUUACCCAAAAGGUUAAAGGUGUAAGGAAAUGUAAAACACAAACUACUCAAGUUCUAAAAUGUGUGACAUGCGAUUUAGAC